ACUACACCCAUGACAUUUGACCAUGUGCACGAUUGUCAGGAAAAAAACGCGCCGAAAAACUUUCGUGUCAUGUUUUAUCAAGUUCUGUGAGAAAAAUGUAUUCGUUGCAGCUGUGAGCGAUCAAUCUCCGAUGGAGUUAUAGAGUUUCCUGAUGGAAUUUUGAAACUGCCGGACAUCGAAUAAUUGUUGCUGCUACCGUCUAUUCUGCCUGCUUCUGCUGGAAAUUACGCAAGCAUCUGUCGGAACCCCUUGAUGUCGAAACUGCCGGAUGAAGCAAGCUGCCGUAGAUCCCGAAGUUUCUAGAGCUUCCGUUUGCUGUAAGAAUUUCCGGCUUUUGUUAUGUUUUAA